rnacentral:rRNA from 1 species
UACGGAGGGGGCUAGCGUUGUUCGGAAUUACUGGGCGUAAAGCGCGCGUAGGCGGACCUGCAAGUCGGGGGUGAAAGCCCGAGGCUCAACCUCGGAACUGCCUUCGAUACUGCGGGUCUCGAGUCCGGGAGAGGUGAGUGGAAUUCCGUAGUGUAGAGGUGAAAUUCGUAGAUAUUAGGAAGAACACCAGUGGCGAAGGCGGCUCACUGGCCCGGUACUGACGCUGAGACGCGAAAGCGUGGGGAGCGAACGAG